UACGGAGGGGGCUAGCGUUGCUCGGAAUCACUGGGCGUAAAGGGUGCGUAGGCGGCUCUUUAAGUCAGGGGUGAAAUCCUGGAGCUCAACUCCAGAACUGCCUUUGAUACUGAGGAUCUUGAGUUCGGGAGAGGUGAGUGGAACUGCGAGUGUAGAGGUGAAAUUCGUAGAUAUUCGCAAGAACACCAGUGGCGAAGGCGGCUCACUGGCCCGAUACUGACGCUGAGGCACGAAAGCGUGGGGAGCAAACAGG
rnacentral:rRNA from 1 species